rnacentral:rRNA from 1 species
CAGUAGCCGCGGUAAUACGUAGGUCCCGAGCGUUGUCCGGAUUUAUUGGGCGUAAAGCGAGCACAGGCGGUUAGAUAAGUCUGAAGUUAAAGGCUGUGGCUUAACCAUAGUACGCUUUGGAAACUGUUUAACUUGAGUGCAAGAGGGGAGAGUGGAAUUCCAUGUGUAGCGGUGAAAUGCGUAGAUAUAUGGAGGAACACCGGUGGCGAAAGCGGCUCUCUGGCUUGUAACUGACGCUGAGGCUCGAAAGCGUGGGGAGCAAACAGGAUUAGAUACCCCCGUAGUCCCUGUCUCUUAUACA